rnacentral:tRNA from 2 species
GGAGAGAUGGCCGAGCGGUUUAAGGCGCACGACUGGAAAUCGUGUUGGGGUGGAAGCCCCUCGGGGGUUCGAAUCCCCCUCUCUCCGCCA